rnacentral:rRNA from 1 species
CGUAGGUGGUUUUUUAAGUCGGAUGUGAAAUCCCCGGGCUUAACCUGGGUCGGUCAUUCGAUACUGGAAGACUAGAGUAUGGUAGAGGGUAGUGGAAUUCCUAGUGUAGCGGUGAAAUGCGUAGAUAUUAGGAGGAACACCAGUGGCGAAGGCGACUGCCUGGACUGAUACUGACACUGAGGUGCGAAAGCGUGGGUAGCGAACA